UACGUAGGGACCAAGCGUUGUUCGGAUUUACUGGGCGUAAAGGGCGCGUAGGCGGCGUGGUAAGUCACUUGUGAAAUCUCUGAGCUUAACUCAGAACGGGCAAGUGAUACUGCUGUGCUAGAGUGCAGAAGGGGCAAUCGGAAUUCUUGGUGUAGCGGUGAAAUGCGUAGAUAUCAGGAGGAACACCGGUGGCGAAGGCGGCUUUCUGGACAGUAACUGACGCUGAGGCGCGAAAGCCGGGGGAGCAAACAGG
rnacentral:rRNA from 1 species